GGCCUUGUCAAGGCAGUAUUGGGUGAGUAUUGUGGACUCUUCUUGAAGUCGAAUUUGGUACUUGAACUGCAAUAUGUAUUGAAUUGUAAUGAAUGGUCCGAAAUUUUGGGGUUCUUUAGUUCGUCUUUUGUUAUUCAAUACUCAAUACUAGGUAAUUUCGUCUCUGACAUUGGAUUGCAGUUGAUUAGGGUUAUUACCGAUUGAGGUUUUAUAUAAUUUGCUAUCGAAUGAGCUUAAAUAUGGUCAAUUAAACUUUUCUUGAGUCUAUGCGGUGAAUUGUAGUGAAUUAACUUGGAGGUAAGGUUCAUCUUACUUUGUUUUGAUGCACCAAAAAAAAAAUUUACUUUGUUUCCAGUGGUGGAUGACGAG
rnacentral:misc_RNA from 1 species